GGGACCCACCAUACUCCGGUGUGACCUCAUCUUAACUAAUUACAUCCUCAGUGACUCUGUUUCCAAAUAAGGUCACAUUCUGAGGUACCUGGGGUUAGGACUUCAUAUGCAUCUUGGGGAGAUACAAGUCAGUCCAUAACACACACUCACACACACACAGUCUAUUCAAUCUCCUGGCGUGGGAUUAGAAUAAGAAACUGCAUUAGUACGAGCCAGGAGUGUUCCUUGGUGGUCUGCGUGGGACCCGUGGGCCAGGCUGGUGAAGCUGUGACGUCUUGGACACCUGCGGCCUUCGGGAGUGAUUUGGUCUUGUCUUCAACUGACCCAGCCACAGCCCCAGGCCCAGGUGGAGCCUGUGGGCCUGGAGAUGUUCCUGAAGGCAGCUGCUGAGAACCAGGAGUACCUGAUUGACAAGUACCUGACAGACGGAGGGGACCCCAAUACCCAUGACAAGGUAGCACAGGUUGGGUGAGUCGGCUGGCAGCAGCUGCAGCUGCAGGAGCGUUGCCUUCAGUGUGUUCAAGUCCUGGCCUAGGAGGCUGCAGGGAUUUUCACUUUUAUGGGCAUGAAUCCAGUGGUGCCUGCAGACGGAGGGGAGGGAGCGGCCCAUCGCGUGGUGGGGGAAGCAGCAAUUCCGUUCAGGGACCUGGCCCUGGGAAGGGGACCCCGUGGGGUCUCUAGGGGUGGCUGUACUCCCUCUGCCUAAUCUUCCAUCUCUGCCCCCAGCUCCACUGCACCGCCUUGCACUGGGCCUGUCUGAAGGGUCACAGCCGGCUGGUGAACAAGCUGCUGGUGGCAGGUGCCACAGUGGACGCGCGGGACUUGCUGGACAGGACACCUGUGUUCUGGGCCUGCCGCGGAGGACAUCUGGACAUCCUCAAACAGCUGCUUAACCAGGGAGCCCAGGUCAAUGCCCGGGACAAGAUCGGGAGCACCCCCCUGCACGUGGCAGUGCGCACCCGGCACCCCGACUGCCUGGAGCACCUCAUCGAGUGUGGCGCCCACCUGAACGCACAGGAUAAGCAGGAAGGGGACACGGCUCUGCACGAGGCCGUGCAGCACGGCAGCUACAAAGCCAUGAAGCUACUGCUGCUCUAUGGGGCCGAGCUGGGGGUGCGGAACGCGGCCUCUGUGACUCCGGUGCAGCUGGCUCGAGACUGGCAGCGCGGCAUCCGGGAGGCCCUGCAGGCCCACGUGGCGCAUCCCCGCACCCGUUGCUGACCGCAGCCCCCGCCGCGCCUUGUGCACUGCCACCAUUCCAUCCUGUGCUCCGCCCCCGCGUCUGCACCUCUGUGGUUCCUGCCCUCGGCCCCAGUUCCUCCCUCUCCGGGCUGUGCCUCCUCAGCAGCCCUGGCAGAACUGAGGAGCAGCACCGGGCCCAACAGGCAGAGAGAGAGGCCUCCCUGGCUUCGAGUGUCAGGGGAGCCGCGUUCCCUCCCAGGGCUGGAGCAGAGGACCACGAGGCAGCAGAAAGCGCGGGUCCAGAUGAGGGCCAGGAAGGAGAGGAGAGUGAGGGCCAAGAACGAGCCUGAAGGGAGCAGUCCCAAGCUGGAGCCACCCAGGGCUGGGUCUGGAAAUCCUCAGUGUCCACUUGUCCCAGGUUAGGAGGCUUGCCUUGCUCUCCCCAGGGCCAGUCUCUGUGUGUGGGGACUCAGCCUGUGGCCGGCAGAUGCCAUCCAGGAUGUACAAGGGACAGCCAAGGCAGGCCGUGCAGGGGCCGGGCCUGUCUGCAGCUGGUGGAUGCCCGUGGGCACGGCUUUCUCCGGGGACCCCAUUCCUGUCAGUAGCAACCCUGGCAGUGUCUGGAGCGGCUCUAGACAACUUUGGUCAUAGGGACUCUGGAGGUGGGGUCUGGUCAUCUGAGGUGGCUACUCAACAGGUUUGAGGCCCCACAGCAACAGAAGUCCAGGACCCACUAGGUUGCCUCAGAAGCCCUAAGAUGAUGAGCUGGAGCGCGUAUUUGAGAGAAGCCUCGCACCCACUGUGUACUGGCCCCGCUCAGGCCGGCCUGGCACACUGUCACCUGCUGGC
rnacentral:sRNA from 1 species